GACGAACGCUGGCGGCGUGCUUAACACAUGCAAGUCGAACGGAGCACCCUUGAAUGAGACUUCGGUCAAAGGAAAGGAAUGCUUAGUGGCGGACUGGUGAGUAACGCGUGAGGAACCUGCCUUUCAGAGGGGGACAACAGCUGGAAACGGCUGCUAAUACCGCAUGACGCAUUCGGAUGGCAUCAUCUGAAUGCCAAAGAUUUAUCGCUGAAAGAUGGCCUCGCGUCUGAUUAGAUAGUUGGCGGGGUAACGGCCCACCAAGUCGACGAUCAGUAGCCGGACUGAGAGGUUGACCGGCCACAUUGGGACUGAGAUACGGCCCAGACUCCUACGGGAGGCAGCAGUGGGGAAUAUUGGGCAAUGGGCGCAAGCCUGACCCAGCAACGCCGCGUGAAGGAAGAAGGCUUUCGGUUGUAAACUUCUUUUAAGAGGGAAGAGCAGAAGACGGUACCUCUUGAUAAGCCACGGCUAACUACGUGCCAGCAGCCGCGG
rnacentral:rRNA from 1 species